CCUACGGGUGGCUGCAGUGAGGAAUAUUGGUCAAUGGACGCAAGGCUGAACCAGCCAAGUAGCGUGAAGGAAGAAGGCCCUAUGGUUUGUAAACUUCUUUUAUAGGGGAAUAAAGGUAUCCACGUGUGGAUAUUUGCAUGUACCCUAUGAAUAAGCAUCGGCUAACUCCGUGCCAGCAGCCGCGGUAAUACGGAGGAUGCGAGCGUUAUCCGGAUUUAUUGGGUUUAAAGGGUGCGUAGGUUGUUUUUUAAGUCAGCGGUGAAAGUUUGUGGCUCAACCGUAAAAUUGCCGUUGAAACUGGAGGACUUGAGUGUGCUUGAGGUAGGCGGAAUGCGUGGUGUAGCGGUGAAAUGCAUAGAUAUCACGCAGAACUCCGAUUGCGAAGGCAGCUUACUAAGCCAUAACUGACACUGAAGCACGAAAGCGUGGGUAUCAAACAGGAUUAGAUACCCUUGUAGUC
rnacentral:rRNA from 1 species